ACGUCCAUAGCUCAAUUGGUAGAGCAUUUACCUUCUAAGUAAAAUCGUGUAGGUUCGAUUCCUACUGGGUGUA
rnacentral:tRNA from 1 species